GCUACGGGAGGCAGCAGGGAGGAAUAUUGGUCAAUGGACGAGAGUCUGAACCAGCCAAGUAGCGUGAAGGAUGACUGCCCUAUGGGUUGUAAACUUCUUUUAUAAAGGAAUAAAACGAGGCACGUGUGCCUUUUUGCAUGUACUUUAUGAAUAAGGAUCGGCUAACUCCGUGCCAGCAGCCGCGGUAAUACGGAGGAUCCGAGCGUUAUCCGGAUUUAUUGGGUUUAAAGGGAGCGUAGAUGGGUUGUUAAGUCAGUUGUGAAAGUUUUCGGCUCAACCGUAAAAUUGCAAUUGAUACUGGCAGUCUUGAGUACAGUUGAGGUAGGCGGAAUUCGUGGUGUAGCGGUAAAAUGCUUAGAUAUCACGAAGAACCCCGAUUGCGAAGGCAGCUUACUAAACUGUGACUGACAUUGAUGCUCGAAAGUGUGGGUAUCAAACAGGAUUGGAUACCCGGGUAGGC
rnacentral:rRNA from 1 species